rnacentral:miRNA from 1 species
CCAUCUAACUAGCAAGGUGGUUACGAGCAUUGCCCUGGAGCCAGUCUGUCUGAGUUUGGAUCCUGGCUCUGCCACUUAUUAUCUGUGUGACCUUGAGC